AAAAAGAAAAAGUCAACUAACUGCACGCAACUCUACCGGCUGAGUCAUCCUCGAUGGAUGGAAACGCCGGCACUGGCUUUGGAAUGUCGUUUGUGGGGCGUUGGCCCGGCUGGCCAUGUGACCAAAUGGUCGGGUUGUGCCACCGACUAGAUG